rnacentral:rRNA from 1 species
GUACGGAAGGCAGCAGUGGGGAAUCUUGCACAAUGGGGGAAACCCUGAUGCAGCGACGCCGCGUGAGUGAUGAAGCCCUUCGGGGUGUAAAGCUCUUUCGACGGGAACGAUAAUGACGGUACCCGGAGAAGAAGCUGCGGCUAACUACGUGCCAGCAGCCGCGGUAAUACGUAGGCAGCAAGCGUUGUUCGGAAUUACUGGGCGUAAAGAGUACGUAGGUGGUUUGCUAAGUCCGAUGUGAAAUCUCCUGGCUUAACUGGGAGGGUGCGUUAGAUACUGGCAGGCUUGAAUGUGGGAGAGAAGAGCGGAAUUCCUGGUGUAGCGGUGAAAUGCGUAGAUAUCAGGAGGAACGCCUGUGGUGUAGACGGCUCUCUGGACCAUUAUUGACACUGAGGUACGAAAGCGUGGGUAGCAAACAGGAUUAGAUACCCUGGUAGU